AUAUACCAGAGGACUCCUUCAAAGGUGGCGUCCAUGCCUCGACGGGUCAGAGCUGUUUUGGCGGCAGGAGGGGGACCUACACAAUAUUAGCAGCAGCCAGCAGGUUACAGAAGCGCAAUGCCGAAACAGAAACAUAAAUCGGGAUGCCAAAAAAGAGUGGAGAAGAAGGAAAGAGAGUCCAGGAGCAGAUUAGGAGCCCAACAUAUAACAAAAUUUUUUUCAAAGAAAGGUGAGAGUAUUAAGCUAGCUGUACAGGUGCCCUGUGGCUGCCUGCAGCUUAGCCAGCUACUAACGUUACUACGUUAACAGAAUUAUGUGCCAUCAGCUGAGUAAAAUAAACGCCUGACAAGGCUGACAUUACUAAAUUAUCCACUAAAUAUCAUCCGCAGAAAAGAUCAGUAAGGUUAUAAUUCACCAAACGAUAUGCUGUCAAAAAAAAAUCCAGUAGCAGCAGGACACAUUUUUCCAUUCUUACAUGAGUGUUUACUAAAACUAAAUUGCUACAUUAGCCUGUUGACAAGAGUCUUGUUAAUAUUGAGCAGGGGCUAAUCUUACAGCUUGCCCUCCUCAUACAAUAAUAAAGUGAAGCUGUUUGCCUAGAGCUAUGGCACUGAUAAGCCAAUUUAGAUGUUAAUGCCAAGACUAGGUAGGUUAGUUCUUCAUCAGUUGUUCCAUAAAACAUAACCAUAAAUGUGUACAAAAGCAAUAUGAAAUUGAAAAAAUAAACCUUUAUGUGCUGCUACUCCAGAAUCAGCUGUGGCCUCCUCUGGCCCCCACCCUCAGCACUCCAAAGAUGCUUUUGAUGGUGAGUGAGUGAGGUAGACACUGGUUGGCUAUUUAGACUUAUUAGUGAAUUGCUGUACCAUUGGCUAUUACUUACACAUUAGUCACUCUCAACUCUUUCGAUUCUGUAAUGAAUGGCCAAAUGUUGAUUUGUUUAUAAGUCUACUUAAGUCACUGUCCUUGCUGUCUAUAGAGCGAGGCCCCUCUACCCAACAACAAAUAUCAGAAACCAAGGCUCCUACAGAUAGUGAAGUGGCUCAUAAUAGUACCAGUCAUGAAACAGCCGCAGCACAGGAAGUGCACAAAUACAUGAAAGCCAGAAUGAAGAGGGAGAAUAUUUGACAUGCGACCCAGGAUUGUGGCCAGAGAGGCUCACAGACCAUGGCCGUGAAGUAAUUGUCAGAAAGCUACCCACGGCCACUCAGACAGACCUGAGCUUGAUAAGGGAUUCGGAGGGAAAGAAGUUCCCUGAGUAUUUACAGUAUGCUAAGUCAGCAAAUGGACGGGAAAAACAGAAGAGAGACUGGUUAAUGUACAGUCAAAGCACAAAAGUGAUAUAUUGUGUGCCAUGUAUGUUAUUUUCAUGUGAUAGCCUCACAAAACCCUCGGCCAGUGCUCCAAAUUCCAAAGAAGGGUACAAAACAUAAAAUCUCAAAUGGUGGAGAAUCUAGAACAAAUUCCCUGACCAUGAAGCUAGUAAGCCGCACAAAACCUGCCACCUCAAGUGGAAAAAUUGGAAGUAUUCUUUGGUGGAAGCAACAGGGG